rnacentral:rRNA from 1 species
GAGUACGGCCGCAAGGCUGAAACUCAAAGGAAUUGACGGGGACCCGCACAAGCGGUGGAGCAUGUGGUUUAAUUCGAAGCUACGCGAAGAACCUUACCAGGUCUUGACAUCCCGCUGCCCGGCAUAGAGAUAUGCCUUUCCCUUCGGGGACAGCGGUGACAGGUGGUGCAUGGUUGUCGUCAGCUCGUGUCGUGAGAUGUUGGGUUAAGUCCCGUAACGAGCGCAACCCUUGAUCUUAGUUGCCAGCAUUUAGUUGGGCACUCUAAGGUGACUGCCGGUGACAAACCGGAGGAAGGUGGGGAUGACGUCAAAUCAUCAUGCCCCUUAUGACCUGGGCUACACACGUGCUACAAUGGACGGUACAAAGGGUUGCCAACCCGCGAGGGGGAGCCAAUCCCAUAAAACCGUUCCCAGUUCGGAUUGCAGGCUGAAACUCGCCUGCAUGAAGCCGGAAUCGCUAGUAAUCGUGGAUCAGCAUGCCACGGUGAAUACGUUCCCGGGUCUUGUACACACCGCCCGUCACACCACGAGA